AGAGGUUCUGACUGCGCGUGCGUCCGCGGCCUGCGGCGGCUCCGCUCUACCCUGCGAGGAAGAAGCACUGCAGUCACCGCGCAGUUCUGACUUUGGCCGAGCCCUCCUCAAAGGAGCGUUCAGUCAGCAGAGACGCUGCCUCUGAUCAGAGGGGUUCCGACAAGAUCACAAUGUGGACCACCAAUAAAGCAAGGAUUCUAUGUCCCAGAUGGAGAUCACCUUCUGCUUGCUUUGCCUUUAAACGUCCCUGACUGAUGUGACUGUCAUCCUGAGGGAUCCCGAGGCCAGGGUGCAGACUUGGUGCCAGUAUAUGAAUAAAAGCCUCUUCUUUAUUAAGAUGUAUUAAUGGUCAGACUGGUGAAUCCCUAAACAACCCAGACCGGACCAACCCAUGGCUUUUCCAUAGGUGAUGCCCACCCCACCUUAUCCUGCACUCGAUUCUAGACAUCUGUGAAGAGAGCGGAAUUCAUCCCUUUGCUGCCUGUCUCAUCUAGGUUUGCUGAGAUGUGAACUAGACUGAGAACCACAGUGUUCACGACCAUACCUAGAGUCAACAUGUAGAUUUUUGUUGUUGUUGCUGCUGACUCCAGCUUGGCCAUGGCAGGGACAGCGCAUGACAUGGCUCCCACCCCUAGAAAAGAGCCAGCAGGGCGUGGGCCUCUGGAAGUGUCGAUGGUUGCUGUGGGCAUACGGCUUGAUUGUAUAAAAUUAUAUAUUUUAUUUAUGCUCUUCCUUUA
rnacentral:lncRNA from 1 species